rnacentral:rRNA from 1 species
CAAUAGCGUAUAUUAAAGUUGUUGCAGUUAAAAAGCUCGUAGUUGAAUUUCUGGCGGGCGCGCCGGUCUUCCAAGUGUUGUACUGGGCGCAGUCCGCCAUCCUUGUGGAGAGGGCUCGCAUUGAGUUGCGUGUCGGAUCUGCAUCAUUUACUGUGAAAAAAUUAGAGUGUUUAAAGCAGGCUGUCGCUUGGAUACAUUAGCAUGGAAUAAUAAGAUAGGACUUCGGUCUAUUUUGUUGGUUGCGAACCGAGGUAAUGAUUAAUAGGGAUAGUUGGGGGUAUUCAUAUUUAAUUGUCAGAGGUGAAAUUCUUGGAUUUAUGAAAGAUGAACAACUGCGAAAGCAUUUACCAAGGAUGUUUNCAUUAA